GACUGUUUAGUAGGAAUGAUAUCAGAUCAAGAGUUCUUGUAUUCUUAAGUUGACAAAAAACAAAAAUCAAAAUCAAAACAACAAAGGAAAUAGUCGACCAGAGGGAGAUGUUGUCUUCAUGUCCCCUCAUUUGUUUGCCUUACACAUAUCUUACAUACAACCAAAAUAUUAAGUUCUUUCUUCAAAAGUUGAUCCUUUUCUUAUUAUUAGAGACUAAUACCGAUGGUAAAAAAGUAGGUGUUAAUGUUGAGCUUAAUAUUUAAAUUAUGUCAAGGUUUAAGUGUGUAUACCAAUUACACAAGUUUAGUAUAAUUUAUUUUCCACUUAAAUUCUUAGAACUUUUCACUUUCUCUAUAAAACUAAAACCCACUAAGAUUAAUUAACAAUAAACAUUUGAUGCUAAGCCUCUUGGUUCUGCUUCUAUUGCUCAUGUACUACAUUCUCUAUCACUCAAUAGUUUGAAAACCUAUGCAGAGUAUUAUUUAUUACCUUGUACGCUUAUAUACAGUCAGAUUAAGAUUAUGGUAUGGUUAAAGUAAGUCUCACCAUAUCUUUUCACUUUCUUCUUUGCUUCUGUUUAGGUACAUAGAGCAAGAGUAAAGGGUGACAAAAGGGAUGUUGUUGUAAAGGUACAAACAUCCUGGAGUGGAGAAGUUGAUGAUGAUAGAUAUAAGAAACUUGCAACUAUUUGCAUUGUACAUGCAAAAAAACUGAUAUCAAAUUUGACUUGUUCUCCAUAACUAAGGAAAUCGAGAAGCAGAUUGGUUAUGAAUUCGACUUCAAAAGGGAGGCCAAUGCAAUGGAAAAGAUCCGACGUUUUCUUUAUGAGAACAAUAGAAAGAGUCCUGUUCUCAUUCCCAGGGUGCUACGAAAUUUGGUGACCAGGUCCUGGUUAUGGAUUACAUGAACGGGAUCCCAAUCUUGAGCCUCGGUGAUGAGAUGGCCAAAAGAGGGAUAAAUCCUCAUGGUAAAAU